rnacentral:misc_RNA from 1 species
AAGGGUCCAGAACUUUUUAGCAAAUGGGUUGGUGAAUCAGAGAAGGCUGUAAAGUCCCUCUUUACAAAGGCCAGGGCUAAUGCCCCAUCAAUCAUAUUUUUUGAUGAAAUUGAUGGUCUUGCUGUUAUUCGUGGGAAGGAAAAUGGAGUUUCAGUUUCUGAUAGGGUUAUGACUCAACUUCUUGUUGAAAUGGAUGGUCUGCAUCAAAGAGUUAAUGUUACUGU